AAAUAAUCUACUCCAAUGGCUAUCGAGUUUUACUUAUUCAAGGCCACAUAUCGAACAUCGAACAUCGAACAUCGAACUCGCUAUCAUACUAUGUGGAAAUGAGCGCGUCUGUUCAAGUGCGUAGCACAUAACCUAGCACUUAUAAUGAACCAAAUAUUUUGCAGCUGAUGUAAAAUUAAAACAUGCCAAAUUAGGUAAAAUUUGUGUAUGCAAACAAUUUCAGCUUUAGCAAAUAUUAAUUUUUAUGGUAAGUAUGGUAAUGAACUGUUUGUGUCCAUAUGAUAUAUUUACAUAUGAGCAUCGCUAUUAUAAUACAUUGUUAUUGAUAAAAAUGUAGCAUAACAUUAAUGCUAUCAUUUGCUUGAACAAUAAAACAGAACAAGCAAAUUUA